rnacentral:rRNA from 1 species
UCCGAACCCGGAAGCUAAGCCCGAUUGCGCUGAUGGUACUGCACCUGGGAGGGUGUGGGAGAGUAGGUCGCCGCCAACC